CGCUGGCGGCAUGCCUUACACAUGCAAGUCGAACGGCAGCGACGGGAGCUUGCUCCGUGGUGGCGAGUGGACGAACGGGUGAGUAAAGUAUCGGAACAUCGCCCUGAAGGUGGGGAUAACGUAGCGAAAGUUACGCUAAUACCGCAUAUUCUGUGAGCAGGAAAGCAGGGGAUCGCAAGACCUUGCGCUUUAGGAGUGGCCGAUAUCGGAUUAGCUAGUUGGUGAGGUAAAGGCUCACCAAGGCGACGAUCCGUAGCGGGUCUGAGAGGAUGAUCCGCCACACUGGGACUGAGACACGGCCCAGACUCCUACGGGAGGCAGCAGUGGGGAAUUUUGGACAAUGGGCGCAAGCCUGAUCCAGCCAUGCCGCGUGAGUGAAGAAGGCCUUCGGGUUGUAAAGCUCUUUCGGCGGGGAAGAAAUGGCGCUUUCUAAUACAGGGCGUUGAUGACGGUACCCGCAUAAGAAGCACCGGCUAACUACGUG
rnacentral:rRNA from 1 species